AUACGUUCACAUAUUUUUUUCUCUACUUCAGGUUGAAUUCCUUGAAUCUGUUAAGAACUUCAUGUAUGAAUAUCAUCAAGUAUACAUGACCAUUUUUGAAAUAGUCAACAAUAAAUACGAUGAAAUAAGAGAAACCUAAUCUAGCAUGGAUCCACAUACAUCACUGUGAUCAAGCCUAGUAAUUAUACAGCUUUUUCUCCUUUUAAGUAAAAGGAGAUUUGGUCAUCGUUUCUCACAAGCAUGAUUUGCAUUUGUCAAAUAAUUCAAAUCAAUUGACCUCAAAUAUACAUCUCUAUAUUAUUUUAGAACCACCUUUUUCAUUUAUGUGACUAAGUCUGUAAUGCCAGAUACAUGUGUUAUUUAGAUUAUCAAUUUUAUUCUUUUCAAUUUCUAUACUCACUAUAAAAUACUUAAUAAUUAGAAUAUAAAUGUCAUUUUGUAAGUUACCAUAACCAUUAAGAUCUUUUCAAGAAAAAUGAACAAUAAUUGUCCUUAACAUUAAAUAACCCUUGUUGAAACAUGAAUUUCAUAUAUUGUUCUUGGUAAUGGUGAGAACAAAAUAACAAUUCUCUAAUUCUAAUACUAAGCGUAAAGGCAAUAGUAAGAAGUAUGCUCCUACAGGCAAUGCUGAAACCUUUGCUCAUCUUCAACAUGCAGGUCAAUUUCUUCCUUUUGCAGUAAUCUACUUCUAUAUGAUUUUUUCAUAUUUAUACAAAUAUGAGAUCUAUAUUCAGUAUCUAAUACCCAAAAGACUAAUGAAGUAAAUAUAAGCCUUACAAGUUUCUUCCAAUGACCUUUCAUUCUAUGAUGAUAUUAAUGGUUAUCAGAUUUGAUAAUAUCCUUAUUUACUUUGAUUGUCUUAACCAUCGUAGAUGCUUUCUCAAACCCCCUUUAGACUUCCUCUAGUACCUUUAGAUGAAUCAAUGGCUUGCGCACUACUUACUUUGAUAUUGGGCUUAAUAGUUUUAAGCAUAUUUAGUAGCUCAAUGAGUGUGCACUUGAGUUUAUUCAUAUUAAAAUUCAUACUUAUCUAUGAUUAUUUUCGGGCAGAGAUUGCAUAACUAAGUUAAUACUUAGUUCAUGGUUCAUGAACGAUCCCAAUUGAGAUAAUUUCUCAAUCUCAUUCAUCUUUAGUGCAUGAACACUGACAGAAGAUCCCUCUAUCAUUUUACACUAGUAUAGCUGCUUAGACGUAUCAUAUCCUUCCACACGUGAUUAUUUAUCAUACAACUCUUUGAGAUAAAAAAAUUAUGUGUUAUUAUAUUUAUCCUCAUGUUGCUUUUGUAAAGCAGGUAACAUAAUAAAAGCAUCACAAUGUUGAAGUAGUAUCGUCAUCACUAUGUUAUCAUAGAAUCCACUUCUUUUUUUGUUGAGUCAUCAGCAAGUGUCUCUGGGAAGAGAUGCUUAAGGAUAUAACCAAUUUUCUCAUGUUUAAGAACAAUUCUCAGAUUGCGAUGCCAAUUAAGAAGAUUUGGUUUGGUUGUUGGCAUCCAGUAUACCUUUCAAAUACAUAUGGUUACUCAUGAUUCAAUAAAUAUAA
rnacentral:lncRNA from 1 species